UCAGUCGGCCGGACGGCCGUCCCGGCCAUCGCCGAAAGGCGGCCGGGGAGGAAAGUCCGGGCUCCAUGGACAUACGGUGCCGGAUAAGGUCCGGCGGGGGCGACCCCAGGGACAGUGCCACAGAGAACAGACCGCCGCGGCGCGUUGCGUUUUUGUCGCGGUAAGGGUGAAACGGUGCGGUAAGAGCGCACCGCGCGUCCGGCAACGGAGGCGGCACGGCAAACCCCACCGGGAGCAAAACCGAAUAGGGACGACGUCGCGGUGCAAGCCGCGGGACCGAUGUCCGGGUCCAGUCGUCCGGGUUGGUCGCUAGAGGCGCCGGGCGACCGGCGUCCCAGAGGAAUGGCCGUCGCGCGGAGCGGGUUUCCCGCCCCGCCCUACAGAACCCGGCUUACAGGCCGGCUGAUCGU
rnacentral:RNase_P_RNA from 2 species